GUGACGUCUCUCAGGAUGCCUGAGCCGGGGAAGAAGCCAGGUGAAGGUAAACCCAAGGGGUGGGGUGCACGCUCCAACCAGGGGCCGCUGUACCCUCCACCUGGCCCUGCAGUCUCAGCUUUCAGCAAGAAGCCACGGUCAGUGGAAGUGGCCGCAGGCAGCCCUGCCGUGUUUGAGGUGGAGACAGAGCGGGUAGGAGUGAAGGUGCGCUGGCAGCGCGGAGGCAGUGACAUCGGAGCCAGCAGCAAGUAUGGCCUGGCCACAGAGGGCACACGGCAUACACUGACAGUGCGGGAGGUGGGCCCUGCCGACCAGGGCUCCUACGCAGUCAUUGCUGGCUCCUCCAAGGUCAAGUUCGACCUCAAGGUCACAGAGGCAGAGAAGGCAGAGCCUGUCCUGGCCCCUGCCCCUGCCCCUGCCCCUGCUGAGGCCACUGGAACCCCUGGAGAAACCCUGGCCCCAGCCGCUGAGCUGGGAGAAAGUGCCCCAAGUCCCGAAGGGUCAAGCUCAGCAGCUCGCAACGGCCCUACCCCUGGAGCCCCUGAUGACCCCAUUGGCCUCUUCGUGAUGCGGCCACAGGAUGGCGAGGUGACUGUGGGUGGCAGCAUCACCUUCUCAGCCCGUGUGGCCGGCGCCAGCCUCCUGAAGCCGCCUGUGGUCAAGUGGUUCAAGGGCAAAUGGGUGGACCUGAGCAGCAAGGUGGGCCAGCACCUGCAGCUGCAUGACAGCUAUGACCGUGCCAGCAAGGUCUAUCUGUUCGAGCUGCACAUCACCGAUGCCCAGCCUGCCUUCACUGGUGGCUACCGCUGUGAGGUGUCCACCAAGGACAAAUUUGACUGCUCCAACUUCAAUCUCACUGUCCAUGAGGCCGUGGGCACCGGAGACGUGGACCUCCUAUCAUCCUUCCGCCGCACGAGCCUGGCUGGAGGUGGUCGGCGGAUCAGUGACAGCCACGAGGAUGCUGGGAUUCUGGACUUCAGCUCACUGCUGAAGAAGAGAGACAGUUUCCGGCCCCCAAGGGACUCAAAGCUGGAGGCACCAGCAGAGGAGGACGUGUGGGAGAUCCUACGGCAGGCACCCCCAUCCGAGUACGAGCGCAUCGCCUUCCAGUACGGCGUCACCGACCUGCGCGGCAUGCUGAAGAGGCUCAAGGGCAUGAGGCGCGAUGAGAAGAAGAGCACAGCCUUUCAGAAGAAGCUGGAGCCGGCCUACCAGGUGAGCAAAGGCCACAAGAUCCGGCUGACCGUGGAACUGGCCGACCCUGACGCUGAAGUCAAAUGGCUCAAGAAUGGCCAGGAGAUCCAGAUGAGUGGCAGCAAGUACAUCUUUGAGUCCAUUGGUGCCAAGCGUACCCUGACCAUCAGCCAGUGCUCACUGGCAGACGACGCAGCCUACCAGUGCGUGGUGGGUGGCGAGAAGUGCAGCACGGAGCUCUUUGUCAAAGAGCCCCCUGUGCUCAUCACGCGCCCCUUGGAGGACCAGCUGGUGAUGGUGGGACAGCGGGUGGAGUUUGAGUGUGAAGUAUCGGAGGAGGGGGCGCAAGUCAAAUGGCUGAAGGACGGGGUGGAGCUGACCCGGGAGGAGACCUUCAAAUAUCGGUUCAAGAAGGACGGGCGGAGACACCGCCUGAUCAUCAACGAGGCCACGCUGGAGGACACGGGGCACUACGCGCUGCGCACCAGUGGGGGCCAGGCGCUGGCUGAGCUCAUCGUGCAGGAAAAGAAGCUGGAGGUGUACCAGAGCAUCGCAGACCUGACGGUGGGCGCGAAGGACCAGGCAGUGUUCAAGUGUGAAGUCUCAGAUGAGAAUGUGCGGGGCGUGUGGCUGAAGAACGGGAAGGAGCUGGUGCCCGACAGCCGCAUAAAGGUGUCCCACAUCGGGCGGGUCCACAAACUGACCAUUGACGACGUCACACCUGCCGACGAGGCUGACUACAGCUUUGUACCCGAGGGCUUCGCCUGCAACCUGUCAGCCAAGCUCCACUUCAUGGAGGUCAAGAUUGACUUCGUACCCAGGCAGGAACCUCCCAAGAUCCACCUGGACUGCCCGGGCCGCAUACCAGACACCAUUGUGGUCGUAGCUGGAAAUAAGCUACGUCUGGACGUCCCUAUCUCUGGGGACCCUGCUCCCACCGUGAUCUGGCAGAAGGCCAUCACGCAGGGGAAUAAGUCCCCAGCCAGACCAGCCCCAGAUGCCCCAGAGGAUGCAGGUGACAGCGACGAGUGGGUGUUUGACAAGAAGCUGCUGUGUGAGACCGAGGGCCGGGUCCGUGUGGAGACCACCAAGGACCGCAGCAUCUUCACGGUCGAGGGGGCAGAGAAAGAAGAUGAGGGCGUCUACACGGUCACGGUGAAGAACCCUGUGGGCGAGGACCGGGUCAACCUCACAGUCAAGGUCAUCGACGUGCCAGACGCACCCGCGGCCCCGAAGGUCAGCAACGUGGGAGAGGACUCCUGCACCGUACAGUGGGAGCCGCCUGCCUACGACGGCGGGCAGCCGGUCCUGGGCUACAUCCUGGAGCGCAAGAAGAAGAAGAGCUACCGGUGGAUGCGGCUGAACUUCGACCUGAUUCAGGAGCUGAGCCACGAAGCGCGGCGCAUGAUCGAGGGCGUGGUGUACGAGAUGCGCGUCUACGCGGUCAACGCCAUCGGCAUGUCCAGGCCCAGCCCUGCCUCCCAGCCCUUCAUGCCGAUCGGUCCCCCCAGCGAACCCACCCACCUGGCAGUAGAGGACGUUUCUGACACCACAGUCUCCCUCAAGUGGCGGCCCCCAGAGCGCGUGGGAGCAGGAGGCCUGGACGGCUACAGCGUGGAGUACUGCCCAGAGGGUGGCUCAGAGUGGGUGGCUGCCCUGCGGGGGCUGACAGAGCACACGUCGAUACUGGUGAAGGCCCUGCCCACGGGGGCCCGUCUGCUCUUCCGAGUGCGUGCACACAAUAUGGCAGGGCCUGGAGCCCCUGUUACCACCACGGAGCCGGUGACAGUGCAGGAGAUCCUACAACGGCCACGGCUCCAGCUGCCCAGGCACCUGCGUCAGACCAUUCAGAAGAAGGUCAGGGAGCCUGUGAACCUCCUCAUCCCUUUCCAGGGCAAGCCCCGGCCUCAGGUGACCUGGACCAAAGAGGGGCAGCCCCUGGCAGGUGAGGAGGUGAGCGUCCGCAACAGCCCCACAGACACCAUCCUGUUCAUCCGGGCCGCUCGCCGCGCGCAUUCAGGCACUUACCAGGUGACGGUGCGCAUUGAGAACAUGGAGGACAAGGCCACCCUGGUGCUGCAGGUUGUCGACAAGCCAAGUCCUCCCCAGGAUCUCCGGGUCACUGAGGCCUGGGGUCUUAAUGUGGCUCUGGAGUGGAAGCCACCCCAGGAUGAUGGCAACACGGAGCUCUGGGGGUACACAGUGCAGAAGGCUGACAAGAAGACCAUGGAGUGGUUCACCGUCUUGGAGCAUUACCGCCGCACCCACUGCGUGGUGCCAGAGCUCAUCAUUGGCAAUGGCUACUACUUCCGUGUCUUCAGCCAGAAUAUGGUUGGUUCCAGUGACACAGCGGCCACCACCAAGGAGCCCGUCUUUAUCCCCAGACCAGGCAUCACCUAUGAGCCACCCAACUAUAAGGCCCUGGACUUCUCUGAGGCCCCAAGCUUCACCCAGCCCCUGGUGAACCGCUCGGUCAUCGCAGGCUACACCACUAUGCUCUGCUGUGCUGUCCGGGGUAGCCCCAAGCCCAAGAUUUCCUGGUUCAAGAAUGGCCUGGACCUGGGACAGGAUGCCCGCUUCCGCAUGUUCAGCAAGCAGGGAGUGUUGACUCUGGAGAUUAGAAAGCCCUGCCCGUUUGACGGAGGCAUCUAUGUCUGCAGGGCCACCAACUUACAGGGCGAGGCACAGUGUGAGUGCCGCCUGGAGGUGCGAGAUGGGUACUAGCUUCCAGAAGGCUGGGAGGACACAAUGACAUGGCCUCCUCUUCUGCAGUGCCUCAGUGACCAGGCUGGCUCCCGGGGAUGGCCAGGUACAAGAUGCCAGCCCCAUACCAGGAGCCUGCAGGGAAGUUGGGGAAACCGCUCCCUGCUGUUGGAUGUGUGUGUCACAAGUGUGUCUCCUGGGCUGCGGUGGGGGAUCAGCAGGACAGCUAUGUUGGGCAGGCCUGAGUGAGUGUUGCAGAGACUGGUCCACAGGGCUCCUGAAGGAAGCUCCUGGAUCUUUGGGGUAAAAGGAGGGUGACCUCAAGAAAGGAUGUCUGGGGACAGGCCUUUCUGGCCUGCUGUGUCUUCCCAAUGUGUACUGGGCAAUAAAAGAUUAAUGCAGUCACAGAAAACUCA